ensembl:lncRNA
CCUAGAGUGUGAACUCCCUGAGGGUGGUGACUGCGUUCUUAUCUUUGUAUUCUUAGUUACUGAUGUCCCUGCAGUGCAGAAAAUGUUUGUUGAAUGAAUGUCUGAGAUUCCAAGUUUAGCGCUUCUUUCUCCUAGGUGCAGAUUUAGUCUGGGGAAAGAUGAGGCCUUCAAAUGAUUUUAGUCAUUGAUACUUUAGUAUGAUUCAAUCCAGGAUUUGAUGAUAGUUCUGAGAGAGGUAGAAACUGGGAAUGGGAGGGACGCUAGGCCAACAGCUGGGGUCCGAACCUGUAUGUUCAAGGAUGGUGAGAUGCCAGGAUGAAGAGGAGGGAAUUCUGGAUGGGAGAGGUUCCCGGAGGACUAGAAGGCAAAGGCUGUGUGGGCCGUCUUGCCAGGCCCUCGGGUGGAGGAAGGAAGGGGCAGCUUCCGGGUGUGCCAGGCACGCCGCGUGCCGAGGGUGCAGGACGCUGACCCCGCGUUGCACGUCCCACGGGCCGGAAGCCGGCUGGCCCGACGCCGCCGGGGGGCUUCCUCGCUUUGCAGCGCCGGAAGCGGCGGCCGGCGGCGGUCUGGGCCAGGGCCGUUCCGACCGUGUCAUCCUUGCCCGCGGCGGCGCAGGAAGCCGGUGUGGAGCGCACCGAAGCCUGGGGCGCGGGGCCUCCGCCGGGCGUGGUGCGUGGCCCUCGGCUCUCAGCGCAGACGCGCGCGCCCAGAGCGGCCGGGCCGGCUGGGGCCUGCCCUGCGGUCGCCCCGCCAUCUCCCUGUCUCCUCGAGUCCUUGGAGACUCUGGCCCCUCACUGUCUGCCUCUGCUAAGCCCUUCCUCGAAGGCCUGUCCUGGAAGGGAAGAGAGGAUCCGCCCCGAGACGGCGGGACCCGCUGCAGCUUCCUGUGGUCGCAAGAAGGCGUAGCUAAGACGGUCUCUAGGCAGGGGCGACAUUGGAGACGAGCACACGUUUCACAGGUGGCUGCCUCCUAGAUUGGCAUCUGAGCCUGGCCUGGCUUGCCCACACCCUCCAAGCCUCCAGCCCACGGGGACUUCAGAGGAGGCCUGUAUCCCAGAUUAGCCCUAAAGACAACAUGCUCCUGAAGAAGAAAGAGGAGUUCUAGGACCUUGGGCAUUCGCAUUGACCCUAUGAGUGCACAUCCUCCUCUGUAAGAUGGGGUGUAUUAGUCCUACCUAUAUCACAGGUUCAGCAUAAAGGGGAUCUUCCUUAUCCAGGGAUCGAACUUGCGUUUCCUGCUUGGCAGAUGGAUUCUUUACCACUAAGCCACCUGAUUAUGGAAUUUGUGUUAGACAGAAAGCAAAUUUGAGCGAUUUUCUUAUUUGAGUUCAAAAUGGGUUGUAAAUCAGUAGAGAAAACUAGCAACUUCAACAACGCAUUUGGCCCAGGAAUUGCUAACAAAGGAAUAGUACAGUGGUGGUUCAAGACAUUUGCAAAGGAGAUGAGAGCAUUGAAGAUGAGGAGUGGAGUGGCCAGCUAUCGCAAGUUGACAGUGACAAUUGAGAGCCAUCAUCAAAGCUGAUCCUCUUACAACUACAUAAGUUGCUGAAGAACUCAGCAUUGACCAUUCUAUGGUCAUUUGGCAUUUGAAGCAAAUGGAAAGGUGAAAAAGCUUGGUAAGUGAGUGCCUCAUGAGCUGACUGGAAAAAAAAUUGUUGUUUUGAAGUGUUGUCUUCUCUUAUUCUAUGCAACAACAGUGAACCAUUUCUCAGUCGGAUUGUGACGUGCAAUGAAAAGUGAUCUUAUAUGAC